AGCGAACGCUGGCGGCAGGCCUAACACAUGCAAGUCGAACGGAACCUUCGGGUUCAGUGGCGGACGGGUGAGUAACACGUGGGAACGUGCCCUUUGGUUCGGAAUAACUCAGGGAAACUUGAGCUAAUACCGGAUGAGCCCUACGGGGGAAAGAUUUAUCGCCAUAGGAGCGGCCCGCGUCUGAUUAGCUAGUUGGUGAGGUAAAGGCUCACCAAGGCUACGAUCAGUAGCUGGUCUGAGAGGAUGAUCAGCCACAUUGGGACUGAGACA
rnacentral:rRNA from 1 species